UACGUAGGGCGCAAGCGUUGUCCGGAAUUAUUGGGCGUAAAGAGCGUGUAGGCGGCCAGGUAGGUCCGUUGUGAAAACUCGAGGCUCAACCUCGAGACGUCGGCGGAAACCCUCUGGCUAGAGUCCGGAAGAGGAGAGUGGAAUUCCUGGUGUAGCGGUGAAAUGCGCAGAUAUCAGGAAGAACACCCGUGGCGAAGGCGGCUCUCUGGGACGGUACUGACGCUGAGACGCGAAAGCGUGGGGAGCAAACAGG
rnacentral:rRNA from 1 species